rnacentral:lncRNA from 1 species
GCUCCUUGUCAUGACCUAUUCUGCAGUUGAUCUUUUUGAGAGGUGGGAACAGGAUUCUCCUCAGGGUACAGUUUCAGGAAAUGAGUGAAAGGCAACUGACAAGUGCAAAGAAAUAUACUUUUUGUCUUUAAGUGGUAUUUUGCAAAUGUGUGAGGAUAUUAGAUAAGGUCACGGAGAGGUCAAGUCCACCUGUUCCUAGAUGGCUGUGCCCUUUGGGGCACUGGUACUACUCUCGUGGGAAGUGAUGGUGAAGACUUCUGGGUGUUUUUCCCACCUGGUUGCGACUUUUUAAGGCUUCAUGGAAGUAGAUGUUCCCUUGUGCUACCUACUGAGUCAGAUGUCAGGGGCUGCUUCCCCGGGGGGUUAACUCACUCAGCAGAACAGGGACACAGCUCCAUUAGGACCACAGUGUGAAAUGUCUCUUUCUAAAGUUAGGGUUUGUGAAAGGGUCAUCUUGAAAGAAACAUUGCUUGCCAUCCUUGUAGUUUAUGUUAUUGGGUAGUGUUUGUCGUUUCACAAAUAAGAAAUUCCCUGUGAUUAUGAAAGCUCAGAGCAUCUUCUAAUUUAAAAAAAGAAAAAAAAAAGACUACAGGCUUCAGAACAAAGCUGGCAUUUCUUUGCCUUCUCUUGUUAGCAAGAAGUAGACGCAGAGGUAUUUGAAAGCAGCAAUGUUACAUGAGUCAUUCCUGAGUGUUCUGAAUAAACACUACUUAGAAACAGACAAGAAAUUUGGGAUUCAAACUGAUUUUUCUAGCAUUUUUAAAGAGACACUGUCCCGAUUAAACUUUCCUGGCUUGAAUCUGCCUCCCGGGAAUGAACCCCCAGUAGUCACAGCAGUGACACUCUGAUAAGACCCUGCUGCUGCGGCAUCUGGAGUGAUUAAAGCUGGAGAAUUCUCAAGCUCUUUGCAGCUUUUGUACUAUUUUCUGAUUCUCACCAUUUUACUAACCUCAGGUGGUGAAACUUGACAAUCAGAGAGAAAAACUUGUAAUUAUAUUUGACUUUCUAACACAUUGCCAAGUUUCAAAGCAGCUUCCACUUUCAACUAUUAGAAGUAACCACUUUUACUGAAGAGCCAGAGUUAGAGUCCAUGCCCCCUUCAGUCUGACCUCAUGGAAAUUUUCCACCGUGAAAGCCCUCUUUCCACUGCACACUGCUGGGCCAACUCAGCUUCCUGUUUCAGAGUCACAGGACUCAACUUCAAAUGAGACCUUGCGUACUAUCCUAUUGGCUGUUUUCAUACAAAUUAACCUCUCAAAUAAGAUUGCUUAAUGCCAGAAUUGAUAGACAUUUUUGACCCUCUAUAGACCCCUCAUUCUUUGCCAAAUGCUACUUCUGUUAGUCUUGAGUCAUUUUAAUUUAUAGAAAUUAGGAUCUUCGCUGCUAAUAUGAAUGCUAAUUAUAACUUAUACCUGAAAAGCAGAAUAAAGCUUAAAGAGAUAAAAUGAAACGUAAGGAAUUUUUAUUCUUACACCUAAUAAUAUUUGGGAGGGAGCAGUUCCUAUUUCCCCUCACCCCUAGGGGUUGAGAUUAAUUUUUAAUUUUCUAGGAAAUAGAACAUUGGACUACCACCCAAAAUGUUGCCAGAGUCCAGAUGGAACUGUGCACAUUAAAAAAAAAAAAACACUUUUCUCUUACCUGAAGAAAGAGUCUGUUCUGUUAACAUAUUUUUAAUGAGUAAACUUAAAAUAAAUUUUAUUUUGGACAAGACUAGGACUUUUCGCAGUUUAUUCUAAUACCUCUGUGUUAAUAUCUGUCAGGUUUUCUGUGAGAACUUAUGAAAAGAAGAUGAGAAAGGCAUCUGGAUCAGGAAACUUGUCCUGUGUGUGAGUCAGGUCAUGGCUAGUCACUGUCAAAAGUGGGCACCAUACUCAACAUAGUGGUUUGCUACCUUGAAGCCUUAGAGACUCAGCACAUUAAAAGGCUUUUAAUUAUAUUAAAUGGGGAACCAAGGAGUAAAUAAAGCAUAGUUGACCGUUUCCAAGGUCAGCAACAGUGCUGCUUGCCCCCAGUGAUGCUGCUGACCGUUAGUCAACAAGCAGACCUGGAGGCUUGGCGUCUUGCCCGGCAGGACCAUCGCAGACAGUUCAGUGGGCUGACUUUCGUGACAGAUGUAUAUUGGACCCUUUUAACUCGCACUCAGCCCUCAUUUCUAGGUCAGUCAUCUUCAUGAGAGAGAGUGGGGGAAAUAGAACUUUAGAUGGAAACUGCUCUGUACUACUGGCCUUAGAGAUACUUGUCACUUGUCAUCACACUGGCAGUAUGGUUAGUCUGAGACCGGUUUUUAAGCAAGUCUUUAUGAUGCAAUACUUGUUCUUUGUCUAAACUUCAAAUAAA